GUGUUUGUUGUUUAGGUUCUCAACGAUUUCUACAACGCGGUUGGCUACAAACGGUUUCCAUCUAUUGGGUUCUCCACAAAGCCAAGCGAUUACUAUCGAAGAGUCGGUCCAUGCGAACAUGUUUGUUGUUGGUACUUCUUCUAGAUGUCCUUCUUCAAGGUAAUCAUUAAUACCCUUUAUGUAUUCUGUUUUCAGGUCCGGCGAACGCUUAAAUCUUCUUUCUAGUUGCAUGAACCUCUUUGUAGCUAUCUCUUUUGUAUUACCAUCAAGUACUUUUGGAUUCUCAGUCUUAAAUGGCAGUUUCACAAUGUAUCUUCCUUCUUGGUUUCGAGUGACUGUUUUUUCAUAGAUUUCUUCACAUAGCUGUUCUUCCUUGGUAUAUUUUCUCUUGGUGUCUGUUUCUAUUUCCCAUAGAGACUUCAGUGUGUCUUCUAUAUCGACCUGAUGG